ensembl:lncRNA
ACAGAAUGGACCUACACUCUUAGAACAAGGGUUACAAAAAGGUUACAAAAGGGUUCUUUGGCUGUAGAUAGCACCUCUUUUUCUAAGAAUGUACCAAUUGUUUGUUUAGAUUGUUGAGGACUGGGGGGUGCACAAUCAGAGGAGGAAAGCAGGUGCCCCGAUUGGCAUAAAAUCAAACGGUGGUUAUAGAUUGAGGGUUUAUUUUGCUUGUGUGUUGUGAGCCAUGGUUGUGUUUGUACUGCUGCUAUAUGGGGGAAGAAAAGGGCUCUGGAAAGAGUUGGCAACUUGGCAUCCGGUGACAGUGUCUCAUGUCACUGAAUAUCAAGGUGGAAUAUCUGGUGACAGUGUCUCAUGUCACUGAAUAUCAAGGUGGAAUAUCUGGUGACAGUGUCUCAUGUCACUGAAUAUCAAGGUGGAAUAUCUGGUGACAGUGUCUCAUGUUACUGAAUAUCAAAGUGGAAUAUCUGGUGACAGUGUCUCGUAUUACUGAAUAUCAAGGUGGAAUAUCUGGUGACAGUGUCUCAUAUUACUGAAUAUCAAGGUGGAAUAUCUGGUGACAGUGUCUCGUAUUACUGAAUAUCAAGGUGGAAUAUCUGGUGACAGUGUCUCGUAUUACUGAAUAUCAAGGUGGAAUAUCUGGUGACAGUGUCUCAUAUUACUGAAUAUCAAGGUGGAAUAUCUGGUGACAGUGUCUCGUAUUACUGAAUAUCAAGGUGGAAUAUCUGGUGACAGUGUCUCAUAUUACUGAAUACCAAGGUGGAAUAUCUGGUGACAGUGUCUCAUAUUACUGAAUAUCAAGGUGGAAUAUCUGGUGACAGUGUUCAAUUUGCUUGAGGGCAUACCAAGGUUGCACAUAUCUGAUUGUUGUUGUGUUGUUGUUCAACACUUGACCCUCUGGUUUCUGUAACUCGGUCUAUAUAGUAUGCCAUUUGAAAGGUCAAGGAACAUCAGAGUUCCUAUACACUGAUUGUUUCUUUUAAGAAUGACUUUUUCCUGUUCUUUUGAAUGCUACCUGGCAGCUAUGACAGGGGAGCCACAUUGGAGGCAUUGAGGUUGAACAGACAGAGGAUAUGAGAAUAUAGACAGAUAAGAUAUGAGCAUGAAAGGCUGAAAGGGAUGUAGGGAUGGUAUCUACAAUAUCUGACAUCUAGGUGAUUCAUAUGACGAAAUGUGUAAUAAAUGUAUUUGUUUUAUCAUAGAUAUGUACUUGGACAACAAAAGGAGCGCAGAAUGUCAAUAUAGUGGAUGUUUUCUUUAGAGGUUUAGUUCAUCAGGGGAAAAGACUACUGUAAAUCAUGCACACACCAAACCAUGAAAAAUAAACUGGUACUGUAGGUGCACAAAAAAUAUGCAUUAUUAGACCGUUACACCAGAGUUACCACACAGCCACAAGCCCUCAUUAACCAAUUUGCCCAGUGGAGUGGAAGGCAUUAGGUGAAACCACACUGACCAACACAUAAAGUGCCUCAGUAUAUUGUUACACUCCACCAACAUUGUUGACUCUUGUGUCCCUUUCACUGCAUUCAAUGAUACAAAUAGCAGUGUAUAGUAGAAAGCAGUUAACUCACUUGAACAAUGCUAUCUGAUCCAUGAUAAAUCCAUUUCCUCUGCCACCCCCGCAGCUGCCACACUCCCACACACACACUCUCUCUCACAGCUGCAUUAAGAGGUGUGAAAACAUCAUUAAAGGCUUAUGAAAAGUGAAUUGUUUCACUAAUGCCAUGCUUGCAGUUCCGCUGGGCAGACUUGUGACAAGCAGCAUACUGUGAAGUGUUGUAUAAUUGCCACUUUCAUGUCAAAUAUACACUUGUUUACUUGUACUUGAGUUGUGUACGGGAUUAUUCUAUCAGAAUAUGAUUUUUGUUUUCCACUGUUUGUGUGAUCUUUCCUCAGUGAUAAUCAGCGCAGUGCUUAUUGUAGAUGGAGGUGAGGCAAGAGGCUGACCACCUGAUUGGUCGACGGGUGGUAUCUUUAUGAAUCUGUGUGAUGCAUUGUCCGCUCUCUCCACCCACAGAAGCCCACCUAAGUAUGAUAUGGGCACAGAAAAAAGCAAACAGAACCGCAGGUGACUCUGAUAACACUGAUAUUAUUCACUCUUUUUGGCAGUGGCUACUAUGGAAACACUAUGUAAACAGUGCCUGUAGCGCAAGGGUAAGAACACAACAGAGCUCUGAAAGUCAGAGAAUAGGCAUAGUAUUUAUCUAAUCCAGAUGUGCUAUUUGGUUUGGGAUUAAAUCUCUCAAUCCAAGGGCAACACACAUGUUCUCAGCUAACUAUCUGUAGAUGAUCAUUCUGUGGUGUGGCCAUUGCGUUCCAAUGGGCCAUGCCAAAACACCAUCAGUGUUAUUGUGCCUUUUUUAAAAUUGUGUCUCAAGCAUCUCAUUGUGCCAAUGCAAUCUGACAGUUUUAGUAUUGCUCAAAGAGACAGCUGGGGGGUAACAAGUAGAUGGUUUGCUGAUGGUUUGUGGGAGAAGGGACUGUUCUGGCAGGUGAGGUGUGGGGGACGGGACUGAUCUGGCAGGUGAGGUGUGGGAGACGGGACUGAUCUGGCAGGUGAGGUGUGGGAGACGG